rnacentral:lncRNA from 1 species
CUUUUCCAGUUUUGACAUCAUCUCCUGAGGUAGGAGACGUGGGCUUGACAAUAUCUUCUAUUUUACUAGACUCAUUAACAGCCUUCUCGUGCCCAUCACCACGUUCACCACAUUUAGGCAGCUUAACCAUCAACUUAUUGCUACAACCUUCAGCUUUCUCAAAAGUUACAGUUCUUUGUGAUGAGAUGCUCCUGCUCAGCCCAACUUCUGCGUGGACUGCAACAGUAUUUCUUUGCUGCCCAACGUUAGCAACAGCAACACCUGUUCCAGGUGAUGGGGCUGAUCUAGUAGAACUUGGAGAGGUGGUUGCAGACUUCACGCUGUUAUCUGAAAUACCGGACACGGACUUAAAAGGAUGCAGAGGAGAUACUGAUGUCUUGGUUGCAUCAAAGGAUACAACUGAGUGUCUACUGCCAUGGGAAACUUCAGACUGACGAGGUCUUCCAGGCUUGGCAUCCAUUUCUGCCUCAACACGUUUCUUCCAUGUAUCAACCAAGCUCCUUGCCUUUUUCCCAAUUUCUGAGUUCUUAUGUGAUCGCAAUCGAUUAACAGACUUCCCAAUGUUGCAAGUCUGAAGAGCAUUGAGAUUCACAGGCAGCUUGUCAAGAGCACGUAGUAAAAUCAAAAGAAACUCGUCCACUGAUCUAUCAUUGUCUUUGGGACUGCUCCCAUCCCCAAUUUUCCUUCUAUGAAUCUCCUGUAGCCACUCAUCAAAAACAGAUAAACCCCUCAGCUGGACGAAACGACUGAGACAGUCAAACUUGUCUGUUGCAGCUACAGCACUUGCAAGAAUGGACCGCCCAAUCAAAUCUGUCUUCUUCUCAUUCUUCUCAGGUAGCAUGAGCUGUACCAAUUUCUCAACCCCUUCAGAAUCCACUAGCCUGCCUCUCUCAGUAAUUUUUGCAAUCUCAGACUUCAAACUGCUUUCUUUUCUUACAAAACCAGAACCGCUAUCAUCAACCCGGCUCGGACGUUCCCUUUUCACAGAUUCAGAACCCUGAUCACCACGCUCUCUCUUCCUUCCCUUGCCCUGUGAAGAAGAGGAGCUACUGUUCUGCAUACCUUCUGUUCCUGUUUUCACUUGAGAUGUUGUUAACCUAGGAGAACAACCACACUGCUGUAAACUCUUACACAAUAAGUUAUCUACUUCUUGUUGACGUUCCUGCAUAAAAAAAAAAGACUUGUCAAAACCAGAGAAGAAACAGAAUUGGAUAAUAAUGAAUUAUGAUCUCACUCACUCACAUCGAUAUAAUCUUGAUCAGUGAGCCACCAAAUAGACUCGUUCAUAACAUCAUAAACCCUCCAGCAAACAAACGAAGAGAUUCCAGAUGGGAGUUCAACGCCUUUGGGAAGAAAGGUAACUUUACACGGAUGAAGCAAAGACGCAGCAGGUAUCUCAUCCUCGUGAAAGGAGUAGAAGACUUCGUUAGGCUGAGCCUCCAAAAGGACGCCCUUGCCAAGCUUCAACUCACCGGGUCGAUACAGCCAAUUCACACGAACCUUAAAGCUGCCUCCUUCUCGUUCCGGAACCAGCAAACGGAUCAAACCAACGAACGGUGGACAAUCCUGAGGCGGCUUGAACAGAGCACAGUCACCAACACUAAUCCUCCUCCCGUCCUGCGAAAAAAAAGAUCAAAACUUUAAAUCAAAUCGGAACCAAUCAAAGCCAGUUGACACGAAUCAAGUUACCUUAGAGAACGAAGAAGGUGAAGAAAGAGAGAGAGACGAAGAAGAAGAAGCGGUUGAGAUUAGACGCGAAGGAGGUCUAAACAUAAGCAGACGACGAUGACCUUUCUCCCUCCCAUGCAUAGCCGUCUCUCAUUUUUUCCCCUUUCGAAUCAAAACAAACACAAUUUCGUCUUCCUUUUCAGAAUUGGUUUUCGAUUACAAUUGAAAAAAAAAAACCCUAAUUGAGAUUAAAAGAAGAAGAUGCGAUUCCUUAGGGAUUGAUUUUUGAAAUCGAGUACCUGAUCCAAUCAACCCGCGAAGAUCCAACAGCGAGAAGAAGCAGAAACCCCCGUAGAGUGCGAGAGAGAUUGAACACGAAUCGAAAGCACGCCCUUGUUUGUUUUUCGAUCCAGCGAAGAAGAAGAAGAAGAAAAAAUAAAAUCGAGAGAAAGAGAAGAGAUGAAGGCAAAAGGGGGGUACUACGAGUCGGGGCAGUUCGGGCAUGUGUUUCGGGCAGCGUUUUUAUUUAUUUUGUUUUUUGGUUUUCUGGUGACAUUUGAGUGUGUUUUCUUUUCUCCCCCCCCACCCCCCCUUUUAAUAGCUUUUUUGAUUUUCUAAUUUUUUCCUAAAUUUAAAACAAAACGAACUUCGUGAUUUAAAAAAAAAAAUUAUUUGGGUUAAACACAAAAAAAAGUCUGAUCAUUUAUAAAAUCAAACGAAAUUUAGGAUCAUUUUCAAUCAAUAAACUCGAAAAGUAAAAUGUGAGUUUCACUCUCGUUUUGUUUCAUAAAAAAUGUCUUCUGAAAAAAAUUCACGUGUAUUAAAAAAUUAAUUAGAAACUCUAUUUUUUCCGUUGACACACUAAAUUCUUUUUUUAUUUAAUACACUAUUACAUUAAGAUUAAAAAUGAACAUUUAUUUAAAAUUUUGUAUUGAAAACACAAUAAAACACACUUUUUGAAACAAAAAAAAACUCUAAGACACACUUCUCAAGAAACAGAAGAAGUAUUAUCUAAUAUUUAUAGAAGAAAAUAUAACAUUCAUAUAAAAAUAGAAAAAAAAAUAUAUAAUAUAUUAGAGUAAAAUUUGCAUCUCCCAUAUCCUUAGAUUCAGAAAUAUCUGUGUAAAUUUUCUUACCAAAAAGGCAAGAAAUAGUGGAGUUUUUUUUCCAUGUAAAUCAGAUACAGUCGGAGGAAGCGUUUCUUCGGAACGUCUCAGCUCCUACUAACACUUGAUCUUAUAAAAUGGGUGUCGUAAAAAAAAUGGAGUAAAAUCUUUAUGUAUUUGAGAAAUUCUGUUUUAAGUGGAAAAAAACUAGAAGAGAGAUUAUCUAUAUAACAAGCAAAUUAAAAUUUUAAUCAUGAACAAGUUGUUUCUACAAGUUUACAAAACCGAUCAGUUUAUAUAAUAAUUUUUGUGAUUUGAUCCGGUUUAUUCUGGCUGAUUUCGGUUUGAAUGUGGUGACCUACCCUCCACAACAAGUUAUUUGCUUAUGAUUUUUAUGGGAGGAUCUUGUGGUUACAUUGUCCAGUGUCAAAUCACUGUCAUCAAAGUACAAGUGACCAAUCAUUGUCUCUCUUUGACACAGACAUUAACUUUUUUUACAAUGAGACUAAGAAGCUAUUUGAGUAGCUUCCAGUGACAUGUCUUCUUCACUCACCGAUAGCUCCAAAACAUGUUCUUCACAAGGCACAAAAUAUGUAGAACAUCUCAAAGAUUUUGAGACAGUAAGGUUAAGCUAACUGAAGGUUCCAUAUUUGCAUAGGUGACAAGACUAGUCAAAAUUGGCAAUUGGAGAUGGUGCAAAAGAUGUUAGGAAUGCUUCAAGAAGCAGAUAUAGGAGUUGGGAUCAGUGGAGUGGAAGCAAUGCAGGUUCUUUAAAGAAUCUUAGGACAACCAUUUGCACGGUUUUGUAUCAAGGUAUAAUGAAUCAUUCAAAUCAAAAAGAGCUGCGUAGUUUGCUGUAUAGUGGAGUUUCUUAACCCAAAGCCUUGCUUCGUUUGCUGUAACUGUUCCCUAUAUUGUACCAGGAAGUGGUACAAAAUCUCCCCUUUGGUUGUUACAUGGCUUCUGCAGCACAAUAACCAUUUUCUUCCUCUGCAAAACCUCUCUUGAAUCCCAAGCUUUCAACCACCAAGGGAAAACCGCAGGGGAGAGAGAGAUUUUUGGAGGAACUAUGUACACAUGUGGGUUGAGUUAGCAGAUGGUACAAUCAGUUACUACCUGUUAUUGCAAAUUUGCAAUAUAUGAGCCAUUUUGUUAUAACAGAGACAAAGUUCUGAAAUGUGGAUUCAAACAUAACUAACCACAAGUAAAAAAAAUCUACAAAAGAGUUGCUGCUGACUAUAUAAUACACAAACCAUGUCAGAUUUUACCAGUCUCAUACCAACAAUGACCAUCAUUUUUUCUUUUACAGCAGAGCUCCAAAAAAAAGAGAAAAAAAAAACAUAAACUAAACACUCGCUUGCAUCUCUAAAAGAGAUAAGGAACUAAGUUAGCGUCUGCUUUUAUCUUCAAGAGUACCUAAGAGCCAACAAAGAUUGAAUUAGAAACACAGUCAGCGAGAGAUAAUAUAAAGAAACAGAAGAUGGUAGAGCUGAAAGAAGAGAGUAAAAAUAUGCUUACAUGCUUAGUGCAACGGCCUACAAAGAGAUUCUGAGGUUUGUUAUUGCCAAGAGGGUUGCGUGUAUCCAUCCCAUCCACCACUGUCUGGUUCCUUCCUCUUGAGAGUACCACCAAACAUUUGAUACAUUCUUGCUUCAUCUUUCAAGGGUAAAGAACCAGAGGAAGAUAGCUGUCUUUGUACAAGUGCUGCUUCAUCUCUGCCAUCAGUUUCAUGCCCUCCUGGUCCAGAGUUCAAGUCAAGACCAGAUCUCAACCAUUUUGCAUUGUUGCUGUCCGAAACUCCACCAUUGCUGUUUGGGAGAUUAACGACAUAAGGCCUUGGGUAGUUAGAAGGGAUGGCAACUCCUGGACCCAAUAUUUGAGAGUUGACAGGAGGGAAGCAUAGCCUGCCACUUGAUGAAGAGUCCAUGUAUGGUGUUGAAGCACCUGAAAAAUUUGCUGAGGAAAGAGGAAAGCUGGAACCAAAAGGGAACCCAGGAUACUGAAAUGCUGAUGGUGGGAAUGAAACUGCUGGAGAAGACAGUAAAACAGGGCCUCUGUACAUAUCAGGUGUAUAUGAUGAAACUUCAGAUGUUGGACCAACCAUUCUCUGCAGUCCAUUGCCUCGUUCAGGCAAGACUUGAGGAAUACUCAUUGCUGAAUAAUUGUUAACAGCAGGAAACCAAGAUGAGAAGCCAGGCCUUAUUCCACUGAUCACUGGCUGUGCACUUCGGGAAUUUUGACUAAAACCCAGAGAUGACUCAGCGUUAACAUCAUCGACAGCAGGUCCAUCGUUUAAAUCAAAAUCCCUACUACCACCAGAAGAUAAGUUUGCCUGUUGAAAAGUUGAAUUCACUCGAUGAACACUGCUUAUUGUAUGAUUAUUCAUAUCAGCUGGAUCAUCAAGUCUGUUUAGAUCAAGAUCCAGCCCACCAGAGGAAUUUGUGGGAUUGGCAAAUCUUUGGGAAGGCAGAUCUUCAAGAACUCUUUCAUCCGGUACAUUUAGGUCGAAGUCCAAGAAUGUCUUUGUUUGCUUGCCAGCAGUUGUCGAAGCAUCACAGGAAGCCACAUUAUUUAUGUUUAGUGGCACCACCUCUUGGACUUUUCUUGGCUCAGGUGGCCGGAAGGCACUAGUGGCAGCAGAUCCUCUCCAGCCAACAGUUGCUUUAUUUCUCAAUAGAUCAUCAGGCGGAACAAAUGCACCUUUUGCAGCAGCAGCAACUGUAACGGAUGCAGGAGGUAGACUGGGCUGUAAAGGAGUAGGUGUUAAAGAUAAUGAUCCAGAUAAGUUAUUUGAAUUCCCAUCUCGUGUAUCAUCCCCACUGAAACCUUCAUUUAGAUCAAAUUCAACUCUGGCUUCUAGCUCUGACCCUGCUGAAGCUGAAGCUGAAACUGAAGGAACAUCUUUGGCAACAGAGGUACAUUCCUCGACUUCAUCCCCAUCAUCACAUGUUGUCGUGGCGCACCGUUUUCCGACUUCAGCACUCUUUAGAGACGCCUCUACAUGCUCAAUUUCACCGUUAGUUAAAGAUGAGUACAGAUGCGCUGUCACAGGCUUGCUCUUUUUAUCUGUCUGGUUCACAUGAUUAAUCCCCACGUCCAUCUUUUCUGCAGCUAUGCCCUUGGAGAGCUCGGACGAAACAGUUACAUCUUCAGCCGUUUCUUUAUCCAACUCAGAACUCAAGACUACCGGGGGUUUAUGCUCUUCCUUGUUAUCAGAGUGUGAAUUUGCAACAACCAAGGAUUCUACUUUGGGACAUAAUACGAUGGCUUUACAUUCAGCUGGCGCAGAAGUUUCCACUGAUGUACAAGCAGCCUUUCGAUCGUUAGCUGUUCCACCACAAUCAUUAUCAUCAGACAAUUUCUCUGGCAUCGAUCUAUCAACAUUUUCAGUACUCCUAUCCUUGGCAAACUCUGACAAAACCGAAACCACUUCACCCAUUUUAUUAACUAGCUCAGAACUCAAUAUCACCUUUGGUUUAUCUUCCACCUGAGCACCACCAACAGCACCCAAGUGUGAAUCUUCAGCAGUCAAAGAAUCCUCAUUUUGACUUUUGCCAACGGUUUUACAUUUACGUAAGGCAGAGUUUCCUGUCCUCAUCACUGUAUCUGCCACUCCAUCUGUCUCUGAUAUCUCUUCAGUCUUUACGUCAGCAACUACCCGACUAUCACCAUCAUCAGAAAUGUUUCCCCUAAUGCCUGAUGUGUGCCCAGCGGUUGGGGCAAUAUCAUCUGAAUUUUCAUUGCUUUCUAGGCACUGAUCCACCAAUCUUUGCAACUCUUCCAUUUCUGAAUCAGAGGGCUUAGAAUCAUUCACAUUCACUACAGAGGCCAACUGGUCGCCAAUACUACUGACAUGUUCAACAAUGGUGGGAUCCUUGGCAAGAGCUUCAGCUUGCUCGUUAGGCAAACCUGUUAUAUGGUUCUCUGAAAUAUCAUUCAUCAAGGAAUCUGAAACCAGGGAUACCGCGGGUGAUGCAACAGGGGAUUUGGAAAUUUCAUCAGCAGCAGCAGAAGCUAGAAGAUUCAUUCCAACGUCAUCCACACCAGCCUCACAUGCAUUUGCCUCAGAGUCCCUGACACAACUUUCAAUCAAGGCAUUCAUUGAGCUGUGUGAUCCACUAUCCCCUUUUCCAGGUUUGACAACAUCUCCUAAGGUAGGAGACGUGGGUUUGAUAAUAUCUUCUAUUUUACUAGACCCAUCAAGGCUAAAAUUAGGUCGAUUUGUAUCAUUGUUCUCUGAAGGAACAGGUGAUGGAGCCCUGCUACUACCAGCUGCAUGAUCCUCAAAGGAACCUCCACUAAAACUCUGUGCCGGACUGCGACCACGUUUUGGCAGCUUAACAAUUAACUUGUUACUGCAACCUUCAGCCAUAGGUAUGUCAGGAGUCUUUUCAGUUGCUGUUCUUUGUGAUGAGAAGCUCCUGCUCAGCCCAACUUCCCUAUGGACUGCACCAGUAUCUCUUUGUUGCCCAUCAUUAACGACAGCUACACCUGUUCCAAGUGAUGGUGCUGAUCUAGUAGAACUUGGAGAUGUGGUUGCAGACUUCAUGUUGUUAUCUGACGGUAUUAUGACAGACACGGACUUAGAAGGAUGUUGAUGAGAUGCUGAUGUCCUGGCUGCAUCAGCAGAUACACCUGAAUGUCUACCGCCAUGAGAAACUUCAGACUGACGAUAUCUUCCAGGCCAAGAUGCACCCUGAUUAGAUCCCGACUUGGCAUCCAUUUCUGCCUCAACACGUUUCUUCCAUGUAUCAACCAAGCUCCUUGCCUUUUUCCCGAUUUCCGAGUUCUUAUGUGAUCGCAAAUGGUUAACAGACUUUCCAAUGUUGCAAGUCUGAAGAGCAUUGAGAUUCACAGGCAGCUUAUCAAGAGCACGCAGCAAGAUCAAAAGAAAAUCGUCCACUGAUCUACCAUUGUCUUUGGGACUGCUCCCAUCCCCAAUUUUCCCUUUAUGAAUUUCCUGUAGCCACUCAUCAAAAACAGGUAAUCCCCUCAGCUGGACAAAACGACUGAGGCAAUCAAACUUGUCUGUUGCUGCUACAACACUUGCAAGAAUGGAUCGCCCAAUCAAAUCUGUUUUCUUCUCGUUCUUCUCGGGCAGCAUGAGCUGUACCAAUUUCUCAACCCCUUCAGAAUCCACUAGCCUCCCUCUCUCAGUAAUUUUUGCAAUCUCAGAUUUCAAACUGCUUUCUGUUCUUACAAAACCAGAACCACCAUCAUCAAUCCGACUUGGGCGUUCUCUUUUCACAGAUUCAGAACCCUGAUCACCACGCUCUCUCUUCCUUCCUUUACCCUGUGAAGAAGAAGAGCUGCUGUUCUGCAUACCUUCUGUUCCCGUUUUCGCUUGAGAUGUUGUCGGACUAUUCGUUGACUUAGGAGAACGACCACCCUGCUGUAAUGUCAUCUUGGAACGAGUCUUACGCAAUAAGUUAUCUACUUCUUGUUGACGUUCCUGCAUAAAGAAAAACAGUUGUCAAAACCAGAGAAGAAACAGAAUUGGAUAAUAAUGAUUAUGAUCUCACUCACUCACAUCGAUAUAAUCUUGAUCAGUGAGCCACCAAAUAGACUCGUUCAUAACAUCAUAAACCCUCCAGCAAACAAACGAAGAGAUUCCAGAUGGGAGUUCAACGCCUUUGGGAAGAAAGGUAACUUUACACGGAUGAAGCAAAGACGCAGCAGGUAUCUCAUCCUCGUGAAAGGAAUAAAAUAUCUCGUUAGGCUGAGCCUCCAAAAGGACGCCCUUGCCAAGCUUCAACUCACCGGGUCGGUAGAGCCAAUUCACACGCAGCUUAAAGUUGCCUUCUUUUUCAGGAAGAAGCAAACGGAUCAAACCAAUGAACGGUGGACAAUCCUGAGGCGGCUUAAACAGAGCACAGUCACCAACACUAAUCCUCCUCCCGUCCUGCAAAAAAAGAUCAAAACUUUUAAAUCCAAUUGAACCAAUCUCGACUUUAAAACCCAAUUGAAUGAAUAUUUGACAAAUCAAGCACUAAUCGUUACCUUAGAGAAGGAAGAAGGUGAAGAGAGAGAUACAGACGAAGAACCAGAAGCCUCCAAGCUUGAAAUUAGACGCGAAGGAGGUCUAAACAUAAGCCGACGAUGACCUUUCUUCCUAUCCUCAGAAAGCCCCCUCCCAUGCAUAGACGACGUCUCUCAUUUUUUUUUUUACCCCUUUUCAAAAUACACAAUUCGAUUCGAUUGAAAACCCUAAUUAAGCGAAGAAGAAGAAGAAGGAGAUACGAUUACGAUUCCAGUACCUGAUCCGCGAAUAUCUAACCACGAGAAGAACGAUUAAUCCGUAGAGAGCCGGAGACCGAAGAACGCGAAUCGAAAGCCGCCUUUGAUUUUUUUUUUCUUUUCGAUCCAGCGAGCGAGAGAAAGAGAGAGAGAGAGAGUUUUUUUUUUUUUUAUCAACAAGAAGAAAAAAAAUAGAAUCGAGAGAGAAAGGGGAUUACUACUUUGGAAGAAGUCGGGCAGUUCGGGCAUGAGUUUCGGGCAGCGUUUUGUUUAUUUUUUUACUUUUUUCAGGUGACAUUUGAGAGAUUUUGGAUGGUUUUUUCACCCUUUUUAAUAGCUCUUUUGACUUUCUUUUCUUUUCUUAAAUUAAAAACAUAACAAAAUCCGUGAUUUGUUAAAAUUUUAUUUAGAUUUAAACAAAAAAAAAAAUCUAAAGUUUUAUGAGAACAAAGAUAAGAUCAUUCCAAUCCUCUUUUUUUUAGAAAUAGAAAAUUUAUAAAAUAAAUCUGAGUUUCUUUCAAAUAUUUUUUAAAUAGAUAAAUAUUACCCAUUUUCUUUUGGCGAACUCCAAAAACAGCGGCUGCUACAGAAAAUUUGAACUAUCACCACGGCAAAACACAUCAUAGCAUAGCACUCAUGAAACAACGCCAACCUGCUUUUCUUGACGUUGCGGCUGAUUGCGAGGGGGUGAAAGGAACGCUGAUUUUUUUCAGCGUCAACUGCUUUCCUUAUUUUGUAUUUCGAGCGGUUUACGAGUAACCAUUUUAAUUCUUCGUGCGGUCAAAUUUGCUUCCGUUGUACCUGUAAUUUUUUGUCGCAACGGUGGUUUUGAUGUUCACCAAAAGAACGAGGGUAUUAUAUUAUCCACCAUUUAUAGAAAAAAUAAUAAUAUUUUAUAUAAACAGAGAGAAAUAUAACAUUUCUAUAUUUCAGUGGAACAUAUUAAAAAAAAAUGUGAGUUUCACUCCAAUGUUUUGUUUGAAAUAGAUAAAUUUUAUACUAUCCAACAUUUAUAGAAGAAAAUAUAGUAUUUCUCUGUAAAUCAAGAGAAAUGUAACAUUCUUAUUAUGCAUAUGAAUAUUCCUAUGUUUUAGCGGACAAAAAUAGAAGAGAAUUGGUUUUUUUGUUAGUAAAUAUGUAUAUUUUUAUAGCAAUUUAUUUUUUUUAAAUAAUACUAAUUAAUAAAGUGUAUGUUAAAGUUUGCAAAAACCGAUCAAUUUAUAUAAUAAUACAAUUGUGAGUUGUUCCGGUUAUUCUGGCCGAUUCCGGUUCGAAUGCCCUGACCUACCCCCGACAAUAAAUAAUUUUAUUAUGUUAGUAAUGUGAAUGCUUGUCGUUACAUUGUCCAGUGUCAAAUCACUAUCAACAAAGUACAAGUGACCAAUCAUUUGUCUCUCUUGACACAAACAUUUAACUUUUCACAAUGAGAUCUUAAUACACUACAGAAGCCAUUUGAGCGAGUCGAUUGUCUUCUUCACCCACCGAUUGCUCCUAGACAUGUUCUUCACGGAGCACAGAAUAUGCAAGUAGCAAUCAAGGUUUCCUAAUUUUGAACCGAAGAGACGAGAAGAAGAAAAGAGAUCAGAAAAUGAAGCAUAUAUAGUCGCCUAAACACAUGCCUUCAUCGAAAUUUAAUGUUUUGUAUCUUUAAUGAAACUCAUCGAACUCAUGACUAAAUUGGCUCUUGUGCCACAUCGUUGCUUACAAGCGUUGUAACAUCAUGCAAGAGUAGCCAUUAUGCACUGCUUUUGGGAGUUACGCAACUGCCGAAUACCUCAACCAGACUUGAGCUGACAGCAUCAUGAUGAACCAGAGGCACAAUCAUCAGAACACAACACACGUAUUCUUCAAUUCUUAAGCCACAAGUGUAUUUAUUGCCAUUGAGAGUGUUCUGCAUGUUUUGUUCUAUGCCUUAAACCAAAAUGUAAUGAGGUAUACGAGUAUUCGAUUAGCUUGCUAAUCAUUGUGAUUUUGAGUUACAUAAUCAUAUGAUCUGGAAGUUGUAAACUACUUUUUCUCCAUUUUAAGAGUCUUUGAACUAAUUCUUGACGUUUCUUGUUUUCAACGAAUUUAUAUUUGGGGUUGAUAAACUAGUAUUAAUGGGCCGGAUAGCCGGAUCUUACGAAAUUUGAAUGGCCCAGAUAGACCAGUCUUACCAAACAUGGCCUGCUCCGGCUCAAAACAAAAGUACCUUUCUCUGUUUUUCUUGUUUUCUAUAUCAAAAGCACCUUUCGGUUAGACAGGUUAAAGAUAUGUACUUUUAUUACUCAGACCGACGUUUCCUUAGCUUAAAAAGAAAAUAGUUAGCUUUUUUGUAACCAUAGAAGGUCAAAAGAUAUAGCUAUACAUCACGUCAUAAAUUACAUGAUUACAAUACAACUUUUUUUAUUUGGUAUGGGGAAGAGAACAGAGAAAGACUGGAGCAGGCUGGCUCGUACCUCUAAACCAACCAUGAGCCAGCGUCUGUCGACAUCCUAAUUAGAAUUAUCAAAACUAUAGUACUAUACAUUAAGAACUGUACAUUUGUGUAAAACACUUAGCAGCAUAUUUACCGGAUUAAUUAUCACAAACGACUAUAGAAAACCAUAUUUACAACAAACAUCUACCAGUAAAACUAAAAAAAACAUCAACAAUGGGACCCAUGUUUACAACAAACAUACCAGUAAGACUAAAAAAAACAUCAACAAUGGUAUAGUGUUGAUGGUUCUAUAAUCUGUCAAAACUAGGAUUAAAUAUUCAAAAUUGAUAAAACUUCUAAAUCCAAAUAAACUAAUUCGACAAACCGUAUAAUCUUAUAUGAUAAAUCUGUGUAAAUUUUUCAUACUAUAAAAGUAUAAAACAUGGACUCUCAAUUUUUUGUUUAGUAUAAUAUUUUAGUUAGUUUACUUAUAUAUAUAUAUAUAAAAAUUAACAUAUAAAAUGAUAACGUUUACAUUUUUCAGUAUCGCUUCUUUUUUUCACAAACAUUUUACAGUAUUGCUAGUUUAAAAUUUGACUGCGAUGCUGAAAUGAAAAUGUUUAUUAGUAUCAGUUACCACUUCGUUUUAGGCAUUAUUUGGAUGAUAUUGUAAAUCUAAAAAUAUUAUGGGGUAAAAAGCAGAGGCACAUGAGAGUUAGGGGUAUUGUGUAGUUUCCAAAAAGCAAGCUUCUCUCGUCCUCCCAUGUGCUUCCUCUCCCACUGUCCCCCCUUUUUCCUUUUUCGAUUAAAUCCAAAUUAGUUAAUUUCUAUUUCAUCCUUUUCUUUUGUCGGCUUUUAAUUUCUUAUCACACUUGUUGUUUUAUAUUCUUUUUCUUUUGUCAAAAGUUUUUUUUUUCUAUUCUCUAUCACGCUUUCUACACCUAUUUUGACUGGGUUCACAUUCACAAUAAUAAUAAUAAUAAUAAUAAUAAUAAUAAUAGAAACUCAGAAUGUUUGCAUCAGUUUCAACAGUGACAACUUGUGAGUGUCCAAUCUCAAUGAUUAUGUGGUCAUGCUCCAUAAUAUUAUUAUGAAAAGUCCCUCUCAUUGGCUUAAAUGCUUUCUUUGUUUUAAGUACUGCUAAAUUACUUAAUUCACUAAUUAGUGAUUUAAUUACUAUACUUGUAUAAUGUUUCAAGCCAGAUUCUCAAUCACGUGCAAAAUUCCUUACAAAACAAUAUAGCUGCUUAGCCAUCAACUAAUUACGGAGUUUACAUAUCCAUAUACCUGUCGGAUAUUCAAAUUAGUUAGUACAUUCUUGACCAAAUUUUAAAAAAAUUAAUUAGUACAUUUAUAUGACUGACGUAAAUGAAUGCAUAUCUCAUUUCAAGAUUUCAGUGUUGUGUUUGCCUUAAAGGCUCGCGUGGAUAAAAGAAAAUUUCAUGAGAUUUUGAAUGUACAAACAUGUAACUGUUACGAUACAACACUUAUUAAUUUCAUUGUCCAUGCAUACGUAAAACGUGACUAGUUUUAUGUUUACUGUUUAUUUGCGUGGUUUUCGUUCAUACAUUGCAAAUUGUCGGCAAGAUAUAUCAAGUUGGGUCACUACAGACUACAGUUGUGAUAGUUAUUACCAUAAAUUAAUUUGAAAACGAUGCAUCAAUUGUUUUGACAAAACGUUGAGUUAAUGCUUAAUUAGUAGAACAAACAACAAUAGUUGUAGUGAAGAAAAUAUAAAUAACACGCAUCUCUUAUGAAUAGUAGUAACAUAUUGAUCUUAAUAAAGUUGUACUUGUUGAGAUAUUUACUUAACUAAUUAACCGGUUUAUCUCAGUUGACUAAUUAACCUUAACACACUUCUUAUUGUUGUUUGAGUUUGUUAAAGACACACAAGAUUUGGUUACCCAGUUCCCUUUUGGUACAUCUGGAGAGAGGACGACACUCUCAACGAUUCACUAGCAUCAAGUGUAUACAAUAGCUUUCUACACAACCACCUCAGUGUUUCUCUAUCAAUAUCACCUUUGGUUUAUCUUCCACCUGAGCACCACCAACAGCACCCAAGUGUGAAUCUUCAGCAGUCAAAGAAUCCUCAUUUUGACUUUUGCCAACGGUUUUACAUUUACGUAAGGCAGAGUUUCCUGUCCUCAUCACUGUAUCUGCCACUCCAUCUGUCUCUGAUAUCUCUUCAGUCUUUACGUCAGCAACUACCCGACUAUCACCAUCAUCAGAAAUGUUUCCCCUAAUGCCUGAUGUGUGCCCAGCGGUUGGGGCAAUAUCAUCUGAAUUUUCAUUGCUUUCUAGGCACUGAUCCACCAAUCUUUGCAACUCUUCCAUUUCUGAAUCAGAGGGCUUAGAAUCAUUCACAUUCACUACAGAGGCCAACUGGUCGCCAAUACUACUGACAUGUUCAACAAUGGUGGGAUCCUUGGCAAGAGCUUCAGCUUGCUCGUUAGGCAAACCUGUUAUAUGGUUCUCUGAAAUAUCAUUCAUCAAGGAAUCUGAAACCAGGGAUACCGCGGGUGAUGCAACAGGGGAUUUGGAAAUUUCAUCAGCAGCAGCAGAAGCUAGAAGAUUCAUUCCAACGUCAUCCACACCAGCCUCACAUGCAUUUGCCUCAGAGUCCCUGACACAACUUUCAAUCAAGGCAUUCAUUGAGCUGUGUGAUCCACUAUCCCCUUUUCCAGGUUUGACAACAUCUCCUAAGGUAGGAGACGUGGGUUUGAUAAUAUCUUCUAUUUUACUAGACCCAUCAACGCUAAAAUUAGGUCGAUUUGUAUCAUUGUUCUCUGAAGGAACAGGUGAUGGAGCCCUGCUACUACCAGCUGCAUGAUCCUCAAAGGAACCUCCACUAAAACUCUGUGCCGGACUGCGACCACGUUUUGGCAGCUUAACAAUUAACUUGUUACUGCAACCUUCAGCCAUAGGUAUGUCAGGAGUCUUUUCAGUUGCUGUUCUUUGUGAUGAGAAGCUCCUGCUCAGCCCAACUUCCCUAUGGACUGCACCAGUAUCUCUUUGUUGCCCAUCAUUAACGACAGCUACACCUGUUCCAAGUGAUGGUGCU